CUUAGGUUUAGAGAAAAAAUUAUUUUUAAAUGUUUAUCUACAUCUUAUCUACAUUUGCCUUUUUUUUCAAACUUCUUUCUCGUUUCUAAAAUUAGCCUUUUUCUAAAUCACUUCACAUUAUACGUUUUUUUGUUGUUCGAGGAUCCAGCAUCUCGUUGUCAAAAAAGUCGUGCGGUAUUUUCGCUAGUUGGCGCUGAAAGGGCGUAGUUCUUGUUUUAUUCGUCAUCCUAUACCUUUUUGGAAAGCUCAUUUCACGCGCUAACACGUGUUUGAUUGAUUGUCUUUUCUUUUAAGUCGUGCAACUACUACGAUAAACGAUACUACGAAAGUAAGGCGCAAACGGUCGUGAUCGAAAAGCGGUGAAGCGGACGGUGGCCAAGCCUGGACGGCCAGCAAAAUUCUUAUGUGUGUUUGGUGAGAUUGGCAGGGAAUAAUCCACUAUGAGCUGCUCCCCUAUGGGACCUGGAUCAACUGGACCGCUUGAAGACAGCAGUUCGUUAUGAAGUUCACCACCAGCUCGAACACUUCCUGUAUUUCGCUGCAUUUUCUGAGGGAGUGGCUUGUGCUGCUCCCGUCCCCAAUGCCCCUUUAUCAUAUAUCGCUUUCAGCAUUCCCAUGCAGAAGAGACCAUCUUUAAUCAACAGAGGCCGAAUUGUCUUCCACCAGGACAACGCCAGGCCGCACACAUCUUUAGUGACGCGCCAGAAGCUCCGGGAGCUCGGAUGGGAGGUUCUUUUGCAUCCACCGUAUAGUCCGGAUCUCGCUCAAAGUGAUUACCACCUGUAUCUGUCCAUGGCGAACGUGAAAAUUGGCUCUCCAGUUUUUUGCCAAUAGAGAAGCGAGCUUCUAUGAGAGGGGCACUAUGAAAUUGGCAUCUCAUUGGGAAUGCGUCAUCGAACAAAACGACGCGUAUUUGACUUGAAUCGAAUUAUUGUAACCAAUUUUAUGAACAAUUGAAAAUUCAAUAAAAAUACCGCAAGACUCUUUGACAACCUAAUAUAA